rnacentral:miRNA from 1 species
UAUUAGGUUGGUGCACAAGUAAUUAUGGUUUUUGUAAAGGCAAAUUACUUAUAUCAUUACAUUUAAUGGCAAAAACUGCAAUUACUUGUGCACCAACCUAAUA